rfam:Gossypium hirsutum cultivar TM-1 chromosome 19, whole genome shotgun sequence
CUUAAGGAAGCGCUUCGUCCACGUGGAUAGAAAAUGCAUCCUUGAGGGCACAUUUUGUGUCCACGUAGACAAAGCGCUUCCUUGAAG